rnacentral:rRNA from 1 species
GAUGCCUAUCAUCUAGCCCAAAUUCCCCUUCUCACCUUUCUUCUCCCCUCCUUCCCCUCAAUUAAAACAUUUCCCUCCUUUAGUACAUGUGAUCGAAAAAGAACUUGGAGCUUUAUAAAUAGUACCGCAAGGGAAAGAUGAAAUAGAAAUUAAAUAAUCAUAAAGCACCAAAAAGCAAAGAUUUCAUCUUGUACCUUUUGCAUCAUGGUCUAAUUAGUCUCACCAGGCAAAAAGAUUUUUAGUCUGGCCCCCCGAAACUAAGUGAGCUACUCCGAGGUAACCUUUGAGUGAACCCGUCUCUGUGGCAAAAGAGUGGGACAACCUUCGAGUAGAAGUGAUAUACCUAUCGAACUUAGUGAUAGCUGGUUACUCAAGAAACGAAUUUUAGUUCUUCCCCAAGAGAUCCUAGCCAACUUCACUAAGCAAUCCUAAUCUCUUGGGAUCUAUUCAAUAAGGGUACAGCCUUAUUGAAAAAGGACACAACCUAAUACUCAGGUUAACGACUCUUAAAUGUUAGAUAAAGUUGGCUUAAGAGCAGCCACCUUUAAAAUAGCGUCAAAGCUUAUCCUAACCUUUUCUUAAAUUUCAACCUUUCAACAGAACCCGAUCUUAAUAUUGAGUCAUUCUAUAUUCUUAUAGAAGAGUUCAUGUUAGAACUAGUAACACAGAAUUUUUUCUCUCUAUGUAAGUGUAAAUCAGAUCGAAUAAAUCACUGAUUCUUAAUCAGCUUUGAAACUAAUACAGUAACCCCUCUAGAAAAUCCUGUAACCUUUCUCACUGUUAACCUAACACUAGAACAUAAAAAAAAGAUUUAAAGACAAGGAAGGAAUUCGGCAAAUAAAAGUCCCGCCUGUUUACCAAAAACAUCGCCUCUUGAACCUAAUAAGAGGUAAUGCCUGCCCAGUGACCAUGUGUUCAACGGCCGCAGUAUUUUAACCGCGCGAAGGUAGCGUAAUCACUUGUCUUCUAAAUAAAGACUAGUAUGAACGGCCACACGAGGACUUAACUGUCUCCCUUGCCUAAUCAGUGAAACUGAUCUCCUCGUGCAAAAGCGAGAAUAAUGACAUAAGACGAGAAGACCCUAUGAAGCUUUAAACUAAAUAUCAAACUUCUCUUUAUUUCUUCUAAGGAACUAACCAAUAAGUCUAUUUGAUAUUAGUUUUAGGUUGGGGUGACCAGGGAGGAAAAAAAAUCCUCUCUGAUGACUUAAUAACCAAGAGCUACCUCUCUAAGUAUUGAGACACUUAACUCUAAUUGACCCACUUUGUGAUCAACGAACUAAGUUACUCUAGGGAUAACAGCGCUAUCCAUUUCAAGAGUUCCUAUCGACAAAUGGGUUUACGACCUCGAUGUUGGAUCAGGGCAUCCCAG